rnacentral:rRNA from 1 species
UACGGAGGGUGCAAGCGUUAUCCGGAUUCACUGGGUUUAAAGGGGGCGCAGGCGGGGCUGUAAGUCAGUGGUGAAAUACCUGAGCUUAACUCGGGAACUGCCAUUGAUACUAUAGCCCUUGAAUGCCGUUGAGGUCUGCGGAAUGGGUCAUGUAGCGGUGAAAUGGCAUAGAUAUGACCCGGAACACCAAUUGCGAAGGCAGCAGGCUAAACGGAAAUUGACGCUGAGGCCCGAAAGCGUGGGGAUCAA